rnacentral:tRNA from 1 species
UCCUGGUGAGCUCAGUUAGUAGAGCGCUCCAUUUGACAUUGAAAGGUCUCUGGUUCGAUACCAGGACCAAGGG